rnacentral:lncRNA from 1 species
CACUGCUGGAGAGUUCAAUAACCUUAUGGUAAGCCAAGCAAUCCAUCUCAAUUCACAAGGAUCAAGCUUACCAAAGCCUAACUGAAAGAAAUCCUUGAUGCAGUGUCAAGUCCCUACGUUUUGAUUAGAUUAAUGUACAACUAACAUCUCAUGUAGUAGGUUUCGGGCUGGAGGAAUUUCCCGAAUCACUGGAAUCCAUCUGGGUGACUAAACCAGA